rnacentral:rRNA from 1 species
CCUCGGAGAGUUUGAUCCUGGCUCAGGACGAACGCUGGCGGCGUGCCUAAUACAUGCAAGUCGAGCGAACAGAAGGGAGCUUGCUCCCGGAUGUUAGCGGCGGACGGGUGAGUAACACGUGGGUAACCUGCCUGUAAGACUGGGAUAACUCCGGGAAACCGGAGCUAAUACCGGAUAGUUCCUUGAACCGCAUGG